CCUACGGGAUGCAGCAGUGAGGAAUAUUGGUCAAUGGGCGCGCGCCUGAACCAGCCAAGUCGCGUGAAGGAUGACUGCCCUACGGGUUGUAAACUUCUUUUAUAAAGGAAUAAAGUGAGACACGUGUGCCUUUUUGUAUGUACUUUAUGAAUAAGGAUCGGCUAACUCCGUUCCAGCAGCCGCGGUAAUACGGAGGCUCCGAGCGUUAUCCGGAUUUAUUGGGUUUAAAGGGAGCGUAGAUGGGUUGUUAAGUCAGUUGUGAAAGUUUGCGGCUCAACCGUAAAAUUGCAAUUGAUACUGGCAGCCUUGAGUACAGUUGAGGUAGGCGGAAUUCGUGGUGUAGCGGUGAAAUGCUUAGAUAUCACGAAGAACUCCGAUUGCGAAGGCAGCUUACUAAACUGCCACUGACAUUGAUGCUCGAAAGUGGGGGUAUCAAACAGGAUUAGAUACCCGAGUAGUC
rnacentral:rRNA from 1 species